rnacentral:lncRNA from 1 species
AUAUAUAGAAAAUUCCAAUCUAUAUCUUUUAUUUUUACCCUAAAAUAAAAACUUUACAAAAGUUUGGUAAGAGCUUUUUUACUUAUUUUUUAUAUUUUAUAUAAAAUAUAAAAAAAAGGUAAAGAAAAGAAAGACCACUAAAUCGAAAUAAAGGAGCAAUACCAACACUCUUGCUAGAACAAGAAAGUGGUUAUUGCUCCUUUAUUUUCAAAAACUCGUAGUCAAAUCAAUUCUGAAAGAACAAAGAGAAUUGGAUAGCUCACAAUUCAAAUAUUUCAUCUAUAUUCAGCAAAAAGUUCUUCCUCUCUAUGGCUGAUUACAUCUAUUUAUAAUGCUAAAACAAGGUAACCGAAUGGUCAAAAACAUCCACUUAAUGUGCCAUAAAAAUUGAUGUCUUUUCUUAUUCUUUGAACCAAAUAACUCCUUCCAUAAAAUCACUUUAAUUCAGCUGAUUUGAAUGUCUUUAAUGGCUUAGAAAAUGACUCUUGAGUUGUCCUUGGCUAGUUGAAUAGACACCAUCUCUUAACCAGCUCCUUAAUGACAUUCAAAGGCUUGAUUAAUUUCUCUUGAAAGCUCCAAAAACGGCUGGAAGUGGAAGAGUUGCUGCUGAAUUUUAAAGGGCAUAAAAUGCUCUUUAAAACUCCUUUAAUGAUUUUAAGCUCCCUUUAUAACAGCCCCUUUAAGUGUAACUCAAAAGAACUUGAACAACCACUUAAUUAAAUGUGUAACAGCCUUGAAUUGUAACCACUAUAAGCUAAAAAGUCACCUGCAAUAAACACAUUAAAAUGAGUUUAUUAAACAAAUGAAAACACUUAUUAAUCAUAAUAAACAUUAAACUUACUUAAAUAAAUGAACUAAAACAUAUAUGCAAUAAUUAUUCCAGCAACUAGUUUAAUUAAAGAAGCAUAAUUAAAUGAACUUAACUCAAGCAUCAAUAAAUAAUCCUAGGAACUGAUUAAUUAAGAACAACACUUAUUAAAUAAAUUUCAACAAAAAAACACUUAUUAAUUAAAACUAAGAUGAGUUGAAUAAAUGUCCAGCAACUCAUUUAUUAAACUAAGAUGCUUAAAUGCAUGGUUUUGAAAUGCAAAUUUAACUAACAUGAAAGUUACAUAAUUAAACUAACUUGACUUAAUUUAAUGAUGCAAACUUAACUAACAUGAAAGUUACAUAAUGCAUGACUUUAUUAAAUGCAGAACACAUAUUAAUGAUGUGCAAACUAUGACAUAAUUAAAAACACAAACAAAAAUAACUAAAAAUUAAUGAAUCAAAGUGCUUAUUUUCCAGCUGCCAAAUUGACAAACUGAAAUUAAAAACUUCAUUUUGCACUUGGGCCCCUCGAGUUUGGACCAAUCUCGGUAGCAUCGAGUUGUGUCGUAACAUCAUGCGACUGGGAUUGCAUCACAAAGAAUCCUAAUUUGCACUAGGAUGCAAAAAACUGACGAGACACCGAUUGAUUCGUGUUGCACCGAGGAAGGAUUGUGCACACGUUUAAACCCUACUAACACAAGAAACAAGAAGGUGUUAGAUAUUGUAAAGGGAGAAUAAAAAGCAAACAAAUGAAAACCUACAGCUAAGAAUCAAUAAAAAUUGCUAAAACCAAAAAACCUGAAAAACUGCGGAGUAACUUGACAACUUCGUUCGAGGUGUUCCUGAUCUCCAAAAAUUAUGGAAUUAAAUUUGGAAUGUACUUAAAUAUUGCAUUUUUGAUCUGGAAAUUUUGGGCACCAAACUCAACCCGCUGAAUUUUUUAAUUUUUUUAUUUAAUUUCGUAUUUUUCAAUUCUUUUGACUUUUUCGACUAACUUUUUUGCGAGAAAAUUUUUUUAUAUUCAAUCACAGUGCCACAAAUAUGUAUGUAAAAUUUCAGAUCAAUCGGACAACGUUUACCCACUCAAAUGAAUUUUUUUCGAAAAAUUUUUCUGGGUAAAACAGCUGUUUGUGGUUUAAAAAAAUAGAGAUCAGUUUAGAAAUCAACCAAGAACACCCAAAACGCCCAAAAUCUGGUACCAAAUGAUACAGGGGUUGCGCGCGGACCAAGUCACGGGAAACUCCUACGAAAGCUCUAAAGAAUCAGAUCUGAAAUGAAACAGAAAAUUAAAAGAUUAGAACUUUGAAUUUCCAGAUCUGAAAUAAAAUUCCCAAAUCAGCAAAGAAUCAAAUUGAGAAUAGAAAUAAGUGUUAAUAAGGGUUCUUGAAACCCUAAAGGAGAUUGCGAUUCUGCCCAAUUGAACACCAAGAUAGUUUUCCCCAAAUUUCGGCAAUCUAAUUUCACUCAAAAAGAGUAUUAUGGAUGAAUCAGCCAGAACCCUAGAAAUUGAGGAUUUUUGGCCGAUUCUUUAAGAUAGAAAAAGGCUGGAAAUACAAUAAGAACUGAAAAUAAAUUAGAUAAAGAUUCGGCACAAGCAGAAAUAAAGAAAAGAAAUUAACAGCAAGCAAAUAAAAGAAAAGUCCUAAGAAGCCUUGAAAUCCCGAAAGAUCUCACAACUCCCUUCAAACGGCUCUAAUCUCCCUUGCAAAGAAUAUCAAUGGCAAGAAGAAGGCUGAAGAUGGCUCCCACAAUCAAAAGAUUGUUAAAACAACUUCUAAAGAAAACCCAAGAGAGAAUUCUUGGAGAAAAAACUCAAAGAGAAUUCUGCACUUAAAUAAAUCUGAAAUUUUUGAUAUAAUUGAGAAGUAUCUAACACGGUGGGUGGCCAAGCCUUUAUAUAGGCUUUUCAAAUAUUUUCCUAAUCUAAUUAGAAAACUAAAACUAAACAAACUCCUAAAAUGGCUUUAUGAACUACUUCUUCCAAAUCAAUGUAAGUUUGGAGCCGCAAUGUAUUAGCUAUCGGCCUGUUCAAACCAUCAAUAAAUCGAACCAUAGUUGUUUCCUCAUCCUCCUCCACACUAGCUCUCUGAAUGAGCAUCUCCAUCUCCUUAAAAUAUUCAUCCACCAUCCUACUACCUUGAAUAAGUCUUCUCAGCUUUGUUUGAAUCUCUCUAUAGUAGUGAGGUGGAAUAAACCUUUUACGCAUAAUCUGUUUCAACUCAUCCCAUGUCAAAAUCUCACCUUCAUAAUUCCGAUGACGAUUUACCCCAAGUUGAUUCCACCAACUUAAUGCAUAAUAUGAAAAUUCCAGCGUUGCUAAUGCUACCUUUUCAUCAUCCGGACAUUUAUAAUACCGAAACAUAAGUUCAAUCUUAGAUUCUCAUUCACAAUAAGCUUCAGGAUCAUUCUUACCACGAAAUUGGGGAAUUAUGAACUUCAGUUUUACCAACGAAGGUUGUCCACGAUCAUGAAAAUCAAAAUCAGUCCUAGUGACACGUCGAGGAUCGCGCCUAUGAGCAGGAGGCUGGUUAUCCAUAUCUUCUUUAAUUAGGUCUCGAUAUUGAGACUUUUUGCUACGAGUCACAAAAGCCCAAAUUCUUGAAGGUGAGGCCCAAUAAGCAAAUUCCCAGCCCAAUCAAGAAAUCCAUACAUACUUAGUUGAAAAUCAGGCCAAAUUGUCAAAGUGGCCCAAGUUGUAAAGUUUUAUUUUUAUUUAUUUAUUUAUUUACUUAGUUUAAAUUUUUAUGUAAAUAUUCAGUCCAAGAGUUCUAAAUAAAGACCUUUGACCGAAUUUCCAUAUUAAAAUAAUUAGGAGUUUUUUUAUUUAGUUUUCUAAUUAGAUUAGGACUAGUUAUAAGGCCUAUUUAAAGGCAUGGCUGGCCACCUUGUAAAGAACUUCUCAAUAUAUCAAAAAUAUCAGAUUUGUUUAAGUGCAGAAUUCUCUUUGAGUUUUUCUCCAAGAAUUCUCUCUUGAGUUUUCUUUAGAAGUUGUUUUAACAAUCUUUUGAUUGUGGGAGCCAUCUUCAGCCUUCUUCUUGACAUUGAUAUUCUUUGGAGGGGAGAUUAGAGCCGUUUGAAGGGAGUUGUGAGAUCUUUCAGGAUUUCAAGGCUUCUUAGGACUUAUCUUUUAAUUUCUUGCUGUCAAUUCUUUCUUUAUUUCUGCUUGAGCUGAAUCUUUAUCUAAUUUAUUUUCUGUUCUUAUUGUGUUUUCAGCCUUUUUCUAUCGUAAGGAAUCAGCCCAAAAAUCCCCAAUUUCUAGGGUUCUUCCAUGCUCUUUUUGGGUGAAAUUAGAUUGUCGAAAUUUGGGGAAAACUAUCUUGGCAGAAUCGCAAUCUCCUUUAGGGUUUCAAGAACCCUUAUUAACACUUAUUUCUAAUCUCAAUUUGAUUCUUUGCUGAUUUGGGGAUUUUAUUUCAGAUCUGAAAAUUCAAAGUUCUAAUCUUUUAAUUUUCUGUUUCGUUUCAGAUCUGAUUGUUUAGGGUUUUUGUAGGAGUUUCUCGUGACUUGGCGACUCAAUCGUGGUCCGCGCGCAACCCCCGUAUCAUUUGGUAUCAGAUUUUGGGCGUUUUGGGUGUUCUUGGUUGAUUUCUAAACUGAUCUCAAUUUUUUAAAGCAAAAACAGCAGUUUUACCCAGAAAAAUCUUUCAAAAAAAAUUCAUUUGAGUGGGUAAACGUUGUCCAAUUGAUCUGAAAUUUUACAUACAUGUUUUUGGAACUUUGAUUGAAUAUAAAAAAAUUAUUCCCGCAAAAAAAUCAGUCAAAAAAGUCAAAAAAUCGAAAAAAUACGAAAUCCAAAAAAAAUUUAAAAAAAUAUUCAGCGGGUUGAGUUUAGUGCCCAAAAUUUCCAGAUCAAAAAUUCAGUAUUUAAGGACAUUCCAGAUUUAUUUUCAUGAUUUUUUGAGAUCAGGAACACCUCGAACGAAGUUAUCAAGUUACUUCGUAAUUUUUCGGGUUUUCUGUUUUCAGCAAUUUUUACUAAUUCUUAGCUGUAGGUUUUCAUUUGUUUGCUUUUAUUCUCCCUUUACAAUAUCUAACACCUUCUCUUUUCUUGUGUUAGUAGGAUUUAAACGUGUGCACAAUCCUUCCUCGGUGCAACACGAAUCAAUUGGUGUCUCGUCAGUUUUUGGCAUCCUAGUGCAAAUUAGGAUUCUUUGGUAGUUUGGUUCACACUCUCUACUUGGUUGAUAUAAACUCUGAUAAAGAACUCACAAGAUUGAAUUCUACCUUAUUGAGAAUUUGAAUUUUCUUUUUGAGUGAUUAACGGUGAGGUUUGCUAACUUUUAUUUUUGAGUGUUGAGUGUUUAUUUUUGCAGAUUUUUGGAAAAUGUCUAAAGGUGAUUGUGACAGCCCAAAGUUGACCCUAGUCGGGAAGUGGUUUCGGGACCGCUAAACCGAGUCACCAAAAUGUUUGAAUGUGAUACUUAUUGUCUAGAAUAUGUAAUUAUGAAUGUGUGAAAAUUUCAAGCUUCAAUUUGGUUGAUUUCAUGUGAAUUUAGUCAAUUGGACUUAUGUGAGAAAAUUCUAAAAUGUGAUAGGUCAAUGUGUGAGGACCUAUUAGUGCAUGUGGACAAAGGGGGGACUUGCAUGUCAAAUUCCCCCCCUACUAGUAGUGGCCGGCCAUGAUGGGCAUGAUGAACAAUUGUUCAAUUUAUUUUAUGGAAAUUAUGGCAUGAGUAUGGCACAAAUAAGAUAUGUUAAUUUGUGUCAUAAAAUGUUGGGAUAAAACAAAUAAAAUAAUAAAAAGGAGUAUGGAGAAUACAAAAAAAAAAUGUGUGUGUAGUUGUUUGUCCCCCCCCCCAUUGCCGUGAGCUAAAGAAAAGAAAGGGGAGAAUUUUUGUUCAUCCUUUUCUCAUCUUCAUGCUUGCCGAAACUAGAAAGAAAAACAAAGAAAAAAAUUUUCUCAUCCUUUGGUUCAUCCUUGGCCAAAAUUUUAAGGAGGAAAGAAGAAGAAAGGUGAAGAGAUUCGGCCAUGCAUGUAGCUAGGCUAAGGUAUGUUUGAUGAUGUUCCAUGAGAUGCAUGCAUGUUUUAGUUGUUAGCUUGAGUUCUACCUAGCCCAUGGUCUAAAUCUUGCUAUGUGAUGGAAAUGGCACUUGACCAUGGAUGCAUCAUUCUUGGUUGAUGUUUGAUGUUGUGGUGAUGAGGCAUGAGGAUGAGUUAAGAUUCGGCCUAGGUGGAGGUCGUGUUAAUGCCAUUGCAUGCAAAAUAUGAAGCUUGUUAAUGAUGCAUGUGAUGAUGGCUUGAUGAUUUUUGAACCUCCUUUUUAGCAUUUUUGUGUGAGCACAUAUGUGCAUUGAUUGCUAAAUGGAGAAGAAUCGGCUAGCAAGAUGUGUGCUAAGGCCGAAUGUAACUUUGCAUGUUAAUGAGCAAUGCAUGUGUUAAAUUGAUGAAAAGGGGGAGGAUGCUUUACUAGUGUGUAUAUGUGUGUAUUAAGUGUUGAAAUCGACCCCAAAAAUAGGCAUGCAUAUUCGGCCAAGGGGAAAGAAAUUAGCUAAUAUGUUGUGUUGAUGCAUGAUUUUUGCAUGUAUGAGACUUUAAUGUCUAAUGUAUAAAUAUGGGCUAAGUGCCUUGUGUUCAUCUUUUUGAUGCCUAAAUGAUGAAAUCAAUUUAUUUGUUUAAUUAAGCUCAAGAGCAAAGGGGAAAUAAAUCCGAUAAAGGGAAGGAAAAAGUGGUCGAAUAGUUAGCGGAAUCGUUCGACAACACCCGAGGUAAGUUCUUGAGUAAGAGAGCUUAAAUUACGAUGUGAUUAAAUCAUGCUCUAUGUGUGGCUAUUGAGCCGAAUGUGCAAGGAUGGUAUGUGCCUUGUGUUUGAGUUUUGCUAAUGAAAAAGAAAUACGAAUGUGCCAUGAAUUAUUGUUUGAUGUGCAUGAUUAAUUGAAUGCUGUCCGGGCUAAGUCCCGAAGGCUUUGUGCUAAGUGAAUAUAUCCGGACUAAGAUCCGAAGGCAUUUGUGCGAGAUACAAAUUCCGGGUUAAGCCCCGAAGGCCUUUGUGCGAGGUACUAAAUCCGGGUUAAGUCCCGAAGGUAUUCGUGCGAGUUAUUAAAUCCGGGUUAAGUCCCGAAGGCAUUGUGUGAGUUACUAAAACCGGGCUAUGUCCCGAAGGCAUUUGAACGAGGAGCUAUAUCCGGUUAAAUCCCGAAGGUACGUGAUUUGGUAAUGAAUGAGCUUGCUGUAAAAUUCCAGCGAAUACACGAAAAACAUCCCAAUAUGGGGAUAUGUUACGUAUGUGUUGAAUUUAGUCGAGCCCGUACAAAUAAAUGUUCGCUCAGUUGAUAAACGAGCUACCGGCCUUCGGCUAAGUUAGUCUAUUGUGUAUGUACAUAAUGGUUGUUAAUGUUGUGAAGCAAGUUUGAUAUCGGUAAAUUGCGUAUUAUGAAAUAUUCCGUUUAGCUAAACGUGUGUUAUUCUUUGUUUAUGCUGGAAUUCCUUGCAUAAAUUGCUUACUCGUUACAUUGCUCCUCUAUUUUAUAGAUUUUUGGUUCUCCAGCUAUCGGACUCGGGAUCUUGAAGUCGAAGUCGCCCACACUAUCAAAGGCUCUUUUGGGUACUAUCUUGGUUGGAUUUUGAUAUGGCAUGUAUAGGACUACCCAUUGUUGUUUUUCGAGUACUUUAUGAAAUGUAUAAGUGUACAGCCAUGCGAAAAUGGCUUGUAGAAGUGGAGUAUGGCAUUAGACCAUUCGUGUUUAUGAAUGUAUAGAUGGUUUCAUGAUGUAACUAUAGUUGGAAUGGAAGUGUUGAGCAAAUGAUCAGCCAUUGGAAUGGCUAAGUAUGAUCAUAUGUGGGCAUAUGUAUGACAAGGCCCUAGUUGGUCCAUGAAACCCCGAAAAUAGGUAAGGUUUACUCUGAAAACAGAGGUUGACAGCAGCAGUGGUGUGGAUUUGAAAAAUCACAAGAAUUCGUAGGAGUGGAAUUAAAUAGUGAAUAAAUUAUGUAAUCGAACCUUGAUGAAUCUACUUUCAUAUGAAAGUAACGAAACAAUCAUAUGAACAGUACAGUAAGAGAUAUUCAGGUUCUUGUGGGACAGGGCCAGAACAGUUUCUGGAUUUCCUGUUCCGACUUUGAAAAUUCACUAUAAAUUGACCAGAGAUAAUUAGGAGUCAUACCAUAUAUUUAUGGAUUCCUCUCUGAGUCUAGUUUCCAUAGAAACAAACGGCAUCAGUAUUGAAGCUCUGUGCAGAGAGAUAUCCAAGUCGUAAUGCGCAAAGGUCAGGGUAGUCGAUCCCUGUAACAUGGGAGACUUUGACUAAUAAACUGUACUAACCAAAAAUUCUAGAAAAAAAUAUGUAAAUGGGCAUAUGAGUCUAGUUUCAGGGAAAAAUUACGAAACUGAUUUUCGAGUUGUGAAACUCAAGAUAUGAUUUUUAAAGCGACUAGUACACAGAUUGGGCAGUGUCUGGAAAUUUUUCAAAGUUUGUUAACACCUCGUGUUCGACUCCGGUGUUGGACUCGGGUUCGAGGUGUUACAUUUUAUUGGUAUCAGAGCUACGGUUUAGUCGAUUCUAGGACUACCGUAAUGUGUUGGGUCUAGCUAUACAUGCCAUUUUAUGUGAUUACUUGAUAGUGUGGUGAUUUCUGACAAUUGUAAAUGUGUUUAUUUAUAGUAAUGGAUCCCGAUCGUGACCGAGAGGUAGCUGAUGAUCUUGAGAGUGUAGCGCCUGCUCCCGCACAAGGGACAGUGCCGGCAGACUCUCAACAUAAUGCUAGUAAUCCGAAUGAUGAAGCUAGACAAGCAUUCUAUAGCGUGAUGAAUGAUUGGUUCAACCGAUACAUUCGAACUAAUAUGGCUGUUCCACAACCUCCAUUCCCGACAAAUACUACCCCCGCACCUACAAUACCACCGGUAACGGACCAAAUAAGGUCAAAUAAGCCCCCAGUUGACAGAAUCCGAAAACAUGGGGCUACUGAAUUUAAGGCUAUGGAUAGCGAUGAUGCCGAGCAAGCUGAAUUUUGGCUGGACAACACUAUCCGGGUACUCGAUGAGCUAUCUUGUACACCCGAUGAAUGCCUAAAGUGUGCUAUCUCCUUGCUACGUGAUUCUGCCUACUAUUGGUGGAGUACUCUGACUUCUGUUGUGCCCCGAGAGCAAGUAACUUGGGAGUUUUUCCAAACGGAGUUUCGGAAAAAGUAUAUCAGUCAGAGAUUUGUUGAUCAAAAACAGAAGGAAUUUCUUGAGCUUAAGCAAGGCUCCAUGUCGGUUACUGAUUACGAGCGAAAAUUUGUUAGACUUAGCAAAUACGCUCGGGAAUGUGUUUCGUCCGAAGCUAUUAUGUGUAAACGCUUCGAGGAUGGGCUGAAUGAAGAUAUAAAAAUGUUCGUUGGCGUUCUUGAAAUACGAGAAUUCGUGGUACUUGUUGAACGAGCUUGUAAAGCCGAAGAGCUUAGAAAAGAAAAGCAAAGAGUUGAUGAGGGAACUGGAGAGUUUCGUAAAAGAUCCUCGGGAAGGUCUCUUCAACAGACAUCGAAGAGAUUUCGAGAUGAUGCGGGCCAGUUUAGAGGCACUUCGGGCCUUUUUAGACGAGAUCGUGAUCGACCCCCUGUGGGUACACGAGGCACUUCGGUCGCCAGUGUUGGGAAUGAACGUCGAGACAGAACGAAAUGCCGAUAUUACGGUAAAGGGCAUUCGGGGAGUUGUAGAUUUCCUGACCGCUCCUGUUACAAAUGCGGAUCAGUUGACCACUUCAUUAAAGAUUGCCCGAGGUUGUCGGGACAGAAUGCAAAUCAGAGUGGGAGACCGGGUGUUACCACUGCUCGGGGUAGACCAUCUGGAAAUGCGGGCAAUAAUGGUGGUGGUCAGAGAGGAUCUAGAGAUGGUAUAACCAGAUCCGAAGCCUGUGCGCCUGCUAGAGCUUAUGCUAUACGUGCCCGCGAGGAUGCUUCUUCGCCUGAUGUUAUUACCGGUACAUUCACUCUCUUUGAUACUAAUGUAAUUGCUUUGAUUGACCCCGGUUCUACUCAUUCUUACAUAUGUGAAACCUUAGCAUCCAGUAAGACUUUACCUAUUGAGUCUACUGAGUUCGUAAUUCGGGUGUCAAAUCCCUUGGGUCGUUACGUGCUUGUCGACAAAGUAUGUAAGAAAUGUCCCCUGGAAAUUCGAGGUUCCUGUUUUCCGGCGGACUUGAUGCUUUUGCCGUUUGAUGAAUUUGAUGUUAUCCUUGGUUUGGAUUGGUUGACCGCGCAUGAUGCGGUUGUGAAUUGCAAGAGCAAGACUAUUGAUUUGAGGUGCGCAAAUAACGAAGUAAUCCGAAUUGAGUCUGCGGACUUGGAGGGGAUGCCAGCUGUAAUAUCAGCAAUGUUGGCACAGAAAUAUGUAAGAAAAGGGUGCGAAGCAUACCUUGCGUAUGUACUUGAUGACAAAGAAUUAGAAAAGAAACCCGAAUCUGUGCCGGUGGCUUGUGAAUACCCGGAUGUUUUUCCGGAAGAAUUACCGGGUUUACCACCUGUUUGGGAGGUAGAGUUUGGUAUUGAGCUGGUACCUGGGACUACGCCGAUUUCGAUAGCUCCGUAUCGUAUGGCACCAACCGAGUUAAAGGAGUUGAAAGCUCAGUUUCAAGAACUGACGGAUAGAGGUUUCGCUCGACCAAGUUUCUCACCUUGGGGUGCACCAGUAUUGUUCGUGAAAAAGAAGGACGGAACCAUGAGGUUGUGCAUUGACUAUCGCCAGCUGAAUAAAGUGACGAUAAAGAACAAAUAUCCGUUGCCGCGUAUUGAUGAUCUGUUCGAUCAAUUAAAGGGAGCAUCGGUGUUUUCAAAGAUAGAUUUGAGAUCGGGUUAUUAUCAGUUGCGGAUUCGAGAUUCGGACGUACCCAAAACUGCUUUCAGAACGAGGUACGGGCACUACGAGUUCUUAGUGAUGCCGUUUGGGCUCACUAAUGCCCCUGCGGUGUUUAUGGAUUUGAUGAAUCGGAUCUUCAGGCCGUAUUUGGAUCGGUUCGUAGUUGUGUUUAUUGAUGACAUCUUGGUCUAUUCGAGAGAUGAGACCGAACAUGCUGAGCAUCUGAGGCUAGUGUUGCAAAUUUUGCGGGAUAAGCAGUUAUAUGCUAAGUUCAGUAAGUGUGAGUUCUGGUUAAGAGAGGUUAGCUUCCUGGGUCAUGUGGUAUCCGCAUCGGGUAUUCGAGUUGACCCGAGCAAAAUUUCAGCCAUACUUAACUGGAAGCCUCCGAGAAAUGUUACCGAAGUCCGGAGCUUUCUAGGACUCGCCGGUUAUUACCGACGAUUUGUCAAAGGUUUCUCGAUGAUAGCCACACCAAUGACGAAGCUACUUCAAAAGGAUGUUAAGUUCGAAUGGACGGAGAAAUGUCAGAAAAGCUUCGAUCAGCUGAAAACUCAUUUGACUGAAGCUCCAAUUUUGGUGCAACCCGAAUCGGGUAAAGAGUUUGUCAUUUAUAGUGACGCAUCCCUACUUGGGUUGGGUUGCGUAUUGAUGCAAGAAGGUCGAGUUGUGGCCUAUGCGUCGAGACAAUUGAAGCCACACGAGAGAAACUAUUCGACCCAUGAUCUCGAACUAGCCGCCAUUGUGUUCGCAUUGAAAAUAUGGCGACAUUAUUUGUUUGGUGAGAAGUGCCAUGUGUUUUCGGAUCACAAAAGUCUCAAAUAUUUGAUGACUCAACGAGACUUGAAUCUGCGACAAAGACGUUGGCUUGAGUUGUUGAAAGAUUACGAGCUCGUCAUUGAUUACCACCCGGGAAAGGCUAAUGUGGUUGCGGACGCCUUAAGCCGGAAAUCACUGUUUGCUUUGCGAGCGAUAAAUGUACACUUGUCUGUUCUACCUGACAAUGUGUUAGUAGCUGAAUUAAAAGCCAAACCAUUAUUGACUCAUCAAAUUCGUGAAGCUCAGAAAGUCGAUGAUGAAUUGGUUGCAAAACGAGCUGAGUGUGUUCCGAACAAGGAAUCGGAGUUUCAGAUUGAUGAUGAUGGCUGUUUGAGGUUUAGAAGUCGUUUGUGUGUUCCAAGGAAUUCAGAACUCAUUCCGAUGAUUCUGAACGAAGCCCAUUGUAGCCGAAUGUCAAUUCACCCGGGGAGCACGAAAAUGUACAACGACUUGAAACGUCGGUUUUGGUGGCAUGGUAUGAAACGGGACAUCUCUGACUUUGUUUCGAGAUGCUUAAUAUGUCAACAAGUGAAAGCGGAACAUCAAGUGCCUUCAGGGUUACUUCAGCCGAUCAUGAUACCCGAGUGGAAAUGGGACCGAGUCACAAUGGACUUUGUGUCCGGACUGCCAUUGUCCGCAAGUAAGAAGGAUGCGAUUUGGGUUGUUGUUGAUAGGCUGACUAAGUCGGCUCACUUUAUCCCCGUGCGUACGAAUCUUUCAUUGGAUAAACUAGCCGAAUUGUAUGUCUCUCAGAUUGUGAGAUUACAUGGAGUGCCUAUUUCUAUCGUGUCGGAUAGAGAUCCGAGAUUCACCUCACGAUUUUGGAAGAAAUUGCAAGAAGCUUUGGGUACCAAGCUGCAUUUUAGCACCGCUUUUCAUCCCCAAACCGAUGGUCAAUCCGAGCGGAUAAUUCAGAUACUUGAGGAUAUGUUGAGAUGUUGUAUCCUCGAGUUCAGUAGUUCAUGGGAACGGUAUUUACCUUUGAUUGAAUUCGCUUACAACAAUAGUUUUCAAUCAAGUAUUAAGAUGGCACCGUAUGAGGCUUUGUACGGUCGUAAAUGCCGUACACCAUUGUUUUGGACCGAGCUCGGUGAAAGUAAAAUUUUCGGAGUUGAUUUGAUUAAAGAUGCUGAACAGAAAGUAAAGGUAAUCCGUGAAAGUCUAAAGGUAGCCACGGAUCGUCAGAAGUCGUACGCAGAUUUGAAACGAAAAGACAUCGAGUAUCAGGUGGGAGACAAAGUGUUCCUUAAGGUUUCACCUUGGAAAAAGAUACUCAGGUUCGGCCGUAAGGGCAAGUUGAGCCCAAGAUUCAUUGGGCCGUACGAAAUCUCCGAACGAGUUGGUCCGGUUGCGUAUAGAUUGAUUUUGCCCCCGGAGCUUGAAAAGAUUCAUGACGUCUUCCAUGUUUCGAUGCUUCGACGCUAUCGAUCUGAUCCAUCGCACAUAAUUAGCCCAUCAGAGGUUGAAAUUCAAGUCGACAUGAGCUAUGAAGAAGAACCGAUGCGUAUCCUAGCUCGUGAAGUGAAGGAGUUGCGAAACAAAAGAGUUCCGCUAGUAAAGGUGUUAUGGCUCAAACACGGGAUCGAGGAAGCUACUUGGGAGACCGAGAGCUCGAUGAAAGAACGAUACCCAAACCUAUUUACCGGUAAGAUUUUCGGGGACGAAAAUUUCUUAAGUGGGGGAGAGUUGUGACAGCCCAAAGUUGACCCUAGUCGGGAAGUGGUUUCAGGACCGCUAAACCGAGUCACCAAAAUGUUUGAAUGUGAUACUUAUUGUCUAGAAUAUGUAAUUAUGAAUGUGUGAAAAUUUCAAGCUUCAAUUUGGUUGAUUUCAUGUGAAUUUAGUCAAUUGGACUUAUGUGAGAAAAUUCUAAAAUGUGAUAGGUCAAUGUGUGAGGACCUAUUAGUGCAUGUGGACAAAGGGGGGACUUGCAUGUCAAAUUCCCCCCUACUAGUAGUGGCCGGCCAUGAUGGGCAUGAUGAACAAUUGUUCAAUUUAUUUUAUGGAAAUUAUGGCAUGAGUAUGGCACAAAUAAGAUAUGUUAAUUUGUGUCAUAAAAUGUUGGGAUAAAACAAAUAAAAUAAUAAAAAGGAGUAUGGAGAAUACAAAAAAAAAUGUUUGUGUAGUUGUUUGUCCCCCCCAUUGCCGUGAGCUAAAGAAAAGAAUGGGGAGAAUUUUUGUUCAUCCUUUUCUCAUCUUCAUGCUUGCCGAAACUAGAAAGAAAAACAAAGAAAAAAAUUUUCUCAUCCUUUGGUUCAUCCUUGGCCAAAAUUUUAAGGAGGAAAGAAGAAGAAAGGUGAAGAGAUUCGGCCAUGCAUGUAGCUAGGCUAAGGUAUGUUUGAUGAUGUUCCAUGAGAUGCAUGCAUGUUUUAGUUGUUAGCUUGAGUUCUACCUAGCCCAUGGUCUAAAUCUUGCUAUGUGAUGGAAAUGGCACUUGACCAUGGAUGCAUCAUUCUUGGUUGAUGUUUGAUGUUGUGGUGAUGAGGCAUGAGGAUGAGUUAAGAUUCGGCCUAGGUGGAGGUCGUGUUAAUGCCAUUGCAUGCAAAAUAUGAAGCUUGUUAAUGAUGCAUGUGAUGAUGGCUUGAUGAUUUUUGAACCUCCUUUUUAGCAUUUUUGUGUGAGCACAUAUGUGCAUUGAUUGCUAAAUGGAGAAGAAUCGGCUAGCAAGAUGUGUGCUAAGGCCGAAUGUAACUUUGCAUGUUAAUGAGCAAUGCAUGUGUUAAAUUGAUGAAAAGGGGGAGGAUGCUUUACUAGUGUGUAUAUGUGUGUAUUAAGUGUUGAAAUCGACCCCAAAAAUAGGCAUGCAUAUUCAGCCAAGGGGAAAGAAAUUAGCUAAUAUGUUGUGUUGAUGCAUGAUUUUUGCAUGUAUGAGACUUUAAUGUCUAAUGUAUAAAUAUGGGCUAAGUGCCUUGUGUUCAUCUUUUUGAUGCCUAAAUGAUGAAAUCAAUUUAUUUGUUUAAUUAAGCUCAAGAGCAAAGGGGAAAUAAAUCCGAUAAAGGGAAGGAAAAAGUGGUCGAAUAGUUAGCGGAAUCGUUCGACAACACCCGAGGUAAGUUCUUGAGUAAGAGAGCUUAAAUUACGAUGUGAUUAAAUCAUGCUCUAUGUGUGGCUAUUGAGCCGAAUGUGCAAGGAUGGUAUGUGCCUUGUGUUUGAGUUUUGCUAAUGAAAAAGAAAUACGAAUGUGCCAUGAAUUAUUGUUUGAUGUGCAUGAUUAAUUGAAUGCUGUCCGGGCUAAGUCCCGAAGGCUUUGUGCUAAGUGAAUAUAUCCGGACUAAGAUCCGAAGGCAUUUGUGCGAGAUACAAAUUCCGGGUUAAGCCCCGAAGGCCUUUGUGCGAGGUACUAAAUCCGGGUUAAGUCCCGAAGGCAUUCGUGCGAGUUAUUAAAUCCGGGUUAAGUCCCGAAGGCAUUGUGUGAGUUACUAAAACCGGGCUAUGUCCCGAAGGCAUUUGAACGAGGAGCUAUAUCCGGUUAAAUCCCGAAGGUACGUGAUUUGGUAAUGAAUGAGCUUGCUGUAAAAUUCCAGCGAAUACACGAAAAACAUCCCAAUAUGGGGAUAUGUUACGUAUGUGUUGAAUUUAGUCGAGCCCGUACAAAUAAAUGUUCGCUCAGUUGAUAAACGAGCUACCGGCCUUCGGCUAAGUUAGUCUAUUGUGUAUGUACAUAAUGGUUGUUAAUGUUGUGAAGCAAGUUUGAUAUCGGUAAAUUGCGUAUUAUGAAAUAUUCCGUUUAGCUAAACGUGUGUUAUUCUUUGUUUAUGCUGGAAUUCCUUGCUCAAAACUUACUAAGCAUAAAUUGCUUACUCGUUACAUUGCUCCUCUGUUUGAUAGAUUUUUGGUUCUCCAGCUAUCGGACUCGGGAUCUUGAAGUCGAAGUCGCCCACACUAUCAAAGGCUCUUUUGGGUACUAUCUUGGUUGGAUUUUGAUAUGGCAUGUAUAGGACUACCCAUUGUUGUUUUUCGAGUACUUUAUGAAAUGUAUAAGUGUACAGCCAUGCGAAAAUGGCUUGUAGAAGUGGAGUAUGGCAUUAGACCAUUCGUGUUUAUGAAUGUAUAGAUGGUUUCAUGAUGUAACUAUAGUUGGAAUGGAAGUGUUGAGCAAAUGAUCAGCCAUUGGAAUGGCUAAGUAUGAUCAUAUGUGGGCAUAUGUAUGACAAGGCCCUAGUUGGUCCAUGAAACCCCGAAAAUAGGUAAGGUUUACUCUGAAAACAGAGGCUGACAGCAGCAGUGGUGUGGAUUGGAAAAAUCACAAGAAUUCGUAGGAGUGGAAUUAAAUAGUGAAUAAAUUAUGUAAUCGAACCUUGAUGAAUCUACUUUCAUAUGAAAGUAACGAAACAAUCAUAUGAAUAGUACAGUAAGAGAUAUUCAGGUUCUUGUGGGACAGGGCCAGAACAGUUUCUGGAUUUCCUGUUCCGACUUUGAAAAUUCACUAUAAAUUGACCAGAGAUAAUUAGGAGUCAUACCAUAUAUUUAUGGAUUCCUCUCUUAGUCUAGUUUCCAUAGAAACAAACGGCAUCAGUAUUGAAGCUCUGUGCAGAGAGAUAUCCAAGUCGUAAUGCGCAAAGGUCAGGGUAGUCGAUCCCUGUAACAUGGGAGACUUUGACUAAUAAACUGUACUAACCAAAAAUUCUAGAAAAAAAUAUGUAAAUGGGCAUAUGAGUCUAGUUUCAGGGAAAAAUCACGAAACUGAUUUUCGAGUUGUGAAACUCAAGAUAUGAUUUUUAAAGCGACUAGUACACAGAUUGGGCAGUGUCUGGAAAUUUUUCAAAGUUUGUUAACACCUCGUGUUCGACUCCGGUGUCGGACUCGGGUUCGGGGUGUUACAGUGAUAUUGACCAUAAUGAUGUCUAUGACAUAUUUCAAAAACUCCAACAACAAUUAGAUGAACACGCUGCCACACUUUGAACCUUGAGUACCGCUUUCAAUGAGGUGAGAUUGAAUCAAGAUCCUCAUUAUCGGGAUCCAAUCAAGGAAGAUAGGGAUAACCAGCCCCAUAGGCGCGGCCCUCGACGUGUCCCUAGAAUGGAUGAUGAUUUUCAUGAUCGUGGGCAACCUUCUUUGGCAAAACCAAAGAGUGAGCAGCAACGAGAACAUCUCUUUCAUACUCGCUGCCAUGUACAAGGUAAGCUUUGUAGAGUUAUUAUUGAUGGUGAAAGUUGCUCAAACGUAGCCAACACGACGAUGGUGGAAAAGCUUUGCUUAACCACUACCAAGCAUCCACAACCUUAUCAACUACAAGAGCUUAGCAACGAAGGCCGAUUUAAGGUCACUCAACAAGUGCGCAUCGUCUUUUCUAUCGGUAAGUAUCAAGAUGAAGUUGUGUGCGACGUAGUGCCUAUUCAAGCCUGCCAUUUAUUGCUAGGAGAACCAUGGCAACUGGAUCGAAAGGUCACUUAUGAUGGUCGUACAAAUAGGUAUUCUUUCAAGCAUCAAGGAAGGAAAAUCACCUUAGUGCCACUCACUCCGGAACUAGUCCAUGAGGACCAAAUCAAACUGAAAAAUUCUGUUGUUAAAACAAGUGAGGAAAAAGAAAAAGAGAAUGAAAAAGAGCAAAAAGAGAUUGAGAGUGAAAAGGAAUGUGAAACAGACAAGAAAAUUGAAAAAGAAGUUGAAGAAAGAAGAGAAAAUGAGUUAGAAAAAGAAACAAAAGAAAAAGAUGAGGAAAGGGUAGUGAGGAAUGUUUCCACUAACCAAGAUAUGAAUUUUUCUUGUGUUGCUACUUUUUAGGCUCCCGAAAGAUCGAAAGAUAACUUUCAACUUCAAUACCUCUCAAAUGAAAGACGCUUUCAAACGAUCAACAUAGGCAAAGAUAAAAUCACACUACAUGAGCCCGAAUAGCUUCGACUACACUAUGCCCCCGAUGAGCGAAGGUUUGUAUUAAAUGGAAAAGGUAAACCUUAUUAUUCUGCUUAUAAAGUGGACUCAAUUGCCAUUAGUCCCGUUCGAUCGAGGAAAGUCGAGUCCAUUUGAUUUUUCAGAUUCGAGGAUGAAUCUUUUUGAGGAAGGGGGAAAUGAUACGAGUCACAAAAGCCCAAAUUCUUGAAGGCAAGGCCCAAUAAGCAAAUUCCCAGCCCAAUCAAGAAAUCCAUACAUACUUAGUUGAAAAUCAGGCCAAAUUGUCAAAGUGGCCCAAGUUGUAAAGUUUUAUUUUUAUUUAUUUAUUUAUUUACUUAGUUUAAAUUUUUAUGUAAAUAUUCAGUCCAAGAGUUUCAAAUAAAGACCUUUGACCGAAUUUCCAUAUUAAAAUAAUUAGGAGUUUUUUUUAUUUUAGUUUUCUAAUUAGAUUAGGACUAGUUAUAAGGACUAUUUAAAGGCAUGGCUGGCCACCUUGUAAAGAACUUCUCAAUAUAUCAAAAAUAUCAGAUUUGUUUAAGUGUAGAAUUCUCUUUGAGUUUUUCUCCAAGAAUUCUCUUUUGAGUUUUCUUUAGAAGUUGUUUUAACAAUCUUUUGAUUGUGGGAGCCAUCUUCAGCCUUCUUCUUGCCAUUGAUAUUCUUUGGAGGGGAGAUUAGAGCCGUUUGAAGGGAGUUGUGAGAUCUUUUGGGAUUUCAAGGCUUCUUAGGAUUUAUCUUUUAAUUUCUUGCUGUCAAUUCUUUCUUUAUUUCUGCUUGUGCUGAAUCUUUAUCUAAUUUAUUUUCUGUUCUUAUUGUGUUUUCAGCCUUUUUCUAUCUUAAGGAAUCAGCCCAAAAAUCCCCAAUUUCUAGGGUUCUUCCAUGCUCUUUUUGGGUGAAAUUAGAUUGUUGAAAUUUGGGGAAAACUAUCUUGGUGUUCAAUUGGGCAGAAUCGCAAUCUCCUUUAGGGUUUCAAGAACCCUUAUUAACACUUAUUUCUAUUCUCAAUUUGAUUCUUUGCUGAUUUGGGGAUUUUAUUUCAGAUCUGGAAAUUCAAAGUUCUAAUCUUUUAAUUUUUUGUUUUGUUUCAGAUCUGAUUGUUUAGGGUUUUUGUAGGAGUUUCUCGUGACUUGGCGACUCGAUCUUGGUCUGCGCGCAACCCCCAUAUCACUUUUGAUUCUAGGGCACCUCAUUGAUGGUAGCAGUCAAAGCUCGAAGUGUAGUAGCCUGUUCUUCUGAUAUAGAGGCACGCGCGGACCAAGAUCGAGUUGCCAAGUCACGAGGAAACUCCUACAAAAGGCUCUAGACGAAUAGAUCUGAAACGAAACAGCAAGAUAAGUUUAAACCAAUCAGAUCUGGGAUUAAAAUUAUCAAUGAACAUCAAGGUUAAAGAAAUUCUCAAAGACGGCUUAUUCUUGGAAGCCAAGAACCGAUUUAUGCUUAGAAAGUGAUUUUCCCAACAGUCGACCUAUUAGAUUAAGAAAGAAACAACGAAUCAGAUCUCAGAUCAAUAAAAAAAUAACAAUCAGAUUAAUAAAGGAAGAUUAGGGCUUAGUGCGACAAGUAGAAGAGGAAGAAAGAUUGAUGAAGUAAAACGAAUCUUGAACCCCCAAAUCAGAUUGCGAAUAUGUUUAAUUGAAUUCCCAAGAUGAAUUCCCCCAAAUAACAGCAACCGAAAACACCCCAAAAGAUUAAACAAGAAUCGAAAAAUCCCUAAAAUUUGGGGAUUUAUGGAUCAAGUAAUUACUGUCAAUAAGAAAUCAAUUGAAUGAGGCGAUCUUGGAGUUUAAUCAAGGCUGAAACACAAACAAGAACAGCAAAGAAGUGAGAAGAAGAAUCAGCACAAGUAAUAAUAAAGAAAAUAAAUUGAACAGCAAGAAAUAAUAAUAAGUCCUAAGAACCCUUGAAUUCCCGAAAGAAUUCACAAAUUCCUUCAAACGGCUCUAAUCUCCCCUCCAAAGAAUAUCGAUGGCAAGAAGAAGGUUGAAGAUGGCUCCCACAAUCAAAAGAUUGUUAAAGCAACUUCUAAAGAAAACUCAAGAGAGAAAUCUUGGAGAAAACACAAAGAAAAUUCUACUCUCAACAAAUCUGAAAUUUAAGAAUAAUUCUAAGUGUGUUGUUUACAAGGGGUGGCCAGCCAUGCCUUUAAAUAGGCCUCAAGUAAUCCUAAUCUAACAAGUAACUAAUAAAAUUAAACCUAAUUAAUAAAAUAAAAAGGGAAAAUUCGGCCAAGCAUAUAUAUGGGCUGUUUUUGGGCCGAAUUUUACAUGUAUGUUCCUAAAGCUUAAAAAAUUAAAUUAAACAAUUAAAAUGUUUAUAAAUUGGGCCCUUUGACAUUUUGGCCUGAUUUCAACUAAGUAUGAAGGAACUUCUUGAUUGGGCUGGAAUUUGGUUAUUGGGCCUCACCUUUGAGAAUUUGGGCUCGUGAUCCAUCUCCUUCCGAAAUUGGGUCGUUGAUGCUUGUAACGGAGGUCCAAUGCGUGUUGGCUGCAAGAUUUGGUUUCUUGGACCAAGAUUUCCAAGAUUUGAAAUCUUGAUUUUCUUGAUUCUUGAAAUCUCUUCGAAUAGCAUAAUUGGGCCAAGAUUCGAUUUCUUGAUUUUCUUGAAAAUAAGAAAGUGAAUCUUGAUUUUCUUGUUCUCUCUUGUAUGCUGAUGCAACCUUAGCCCAGGAAAUUACUACCGAAUCCAUUGAGCUCCCACGAGGACCAAUAACUCGAUCACGAGCUAAGAGAUUUCGAAAUGCAAUAGCAAGCUAUUUGGAACGAGCUUGGGAAGAGGGAGUGGCCGGAUUUGAUAGUCGUGCUUCAAACCGUUCAAAAGGCGUUACUUGCAAUUUAUUGCAAGCUGAAUUUGUUUCUUUUAAUUAACUUGUUUUAGUUUAAUAAAUAAGUUGCUGAUCAAUUAAUUUAACUUAUCUUAAAGUUUUAAUACAUGAGUUAGUUAUUGAACUUUAUUAAAUAAGAUGCUUCUUAAUUGAUCUAGUUCCUAGGAUUAUUUAUUGAUGCAUAAAUUAAGUUCUUUAAAUUAUGCUUCUUUAAUUAAACUAGUUGCUGGAAUAAUUAUUGCAUAUAUGUUUUAGUUCAUUUAUUUAAGUAAGUUUAAUAUGUGUUAUGAUUAAUAAGUGUUUUAAUGUGUUUAAUAAACUCAUUUUAAUGUGUUUAUUGCAGGUGACUUUUUAGCUUAUAGUGGUUACAAUUCAAGGCUGUUACACAUUUAAUAAGUGGCUGUUCAAGUUCUUUUGAGUUACAAUUAAAGGGGCUGUUAAAAAAAGGAGCUUAAAGAUCAUUAAAAGGAGUUUUUAAAGAGCAUUUUAUGCCCUUUAAAAUUCAGCAGCAACUCUUCCACUUCCAGCCGUUUUUGGAGCUUUUAAGAGAAAUUAAUCAAGCCUUUGAAUGUCAUUAAGGAGCUAGUAAGAGAUGGUGUCUAUUCAACUAGCCAAGGACAACUCAAGAGUCAUUUUCUAAGCCAUUAAAGACAUUCAAAUCAGCUGAAUUAAAGUGAUUUUAUGGAAGGAGUUAUUUGGUUCAAAGUAUUUUAUGGAAGGAGUUAUUUGGUUCAAAGAAUAAGAAAAGACAUCAGUUUUUAUGGCACAUUAAGUGGAUGUUUUUGACCAUUCGGUUACCUUGUUCUAGCAUUAUAAAUAGAUGUAAUCAGCCAUAGAGGAAAGGACUUUUGGAUGAAUAUAGAUGAAAUAUUUGAAUUGUGAGCUAUCCAAUUCUCUUUGUUCUUACGGAAUUGAUUUGACUUAUCAAGCUUAGCUUGUGGCGUCUAUCCAUUUCUUGUUUUCGAACUUAUCACUUUCAUAUUGUGGCGUUCAUCAUAUACCAAGGUUCCUAUCAUUCUUGAUAGUGGGUCGAGGUCUUUUCAUUGUUGUUUUCCUAUAUUGUCAUUCACCUAAGAGCUACCUUGAGUCUCGGGUCAACAACCUCUAUUGUUGGUUCAUUCUCUGCCCUUAGCCAAAUUUUUCCAUUCGUUGUUAAACCCAUUUCCCUUUUAAACGUUUGUUUGUAGCCUUUCUUCUAUUUUGAAACAAACUUAGCCUUACUCAAAUUCACGAUCGAGCAAACACCAACGACUCGAAUCAAUCACAAAAUGAGUUCGUAUCAAAUUGGUAUCAGAGCUAGCGAAUUUGGAGUAAGAAUCGACAUUGUCGGCAAUACGGUAUAGUAGUUUCUUCAAAAAAAAUUUCGAAAAAAAAUUCAAAAAAAAAUUCAAAAAAAAAAUUUGGUUUCCAUUCAAACUCAAGAGAUUGGAUAUCAAGUUGAAAAAAAAAUUCGUGAAAAAAAAAUUCGUGAAAGAAAAAAUUCGUGAAAAAAAAGAAGAAGCUAGUUUUGAAAUUUUGUUGUUGUUUGCUGCCCAAAUUAUAGUUAUUAUACUUUCCUUUGUCCUACAAUAUUCUUACCAAGCCCAAACAUCAAGGUUGUAAGCCGACCCACAACAAUUGCUUUUUAAGUUUAAAUAAUUCCUAAGAACUUAGAGAGGAGGAGUGAGUGGAAAGAGGCAAGAGAGUGGUGAGUUUAUUCGAGAGUAUAAAAGCCAAGGAAGUGAGAUUUCUUUGUGAGUGGAUAGUGAGAUUCUUUGUUGUGAGUUAAUUUAAAAAAAAAUAUGUCACGAAGUCCGGAAAGAAAUCAAAAUGUGGAAGGAGGGUUCUGUCCCGUAAGAAAUGUUGGAGGAGGAGUGCCAGAUCUUACCCUUCAAGCAAUUAUGCGAGAGAUGGAGCGAUUAUUUGAUAGAAAACUUGAACCAAUUGAAGAUCGAUUAUAUCAAGUCGAGAGACGAGAACAACGUGAGAUGACUCCGGAGAUGCAAGACAAGAGCGAGAACAUCCAAUUCAAGAUCCUUAUGAAGCAAGUGGACAAGAAAGUGAUCACUCAUCUGCCCAAAGUGUACGACGUCGAGGCCGUCAACGACAACGAGGUCCUAGAGAUCGUGAACGACCAUAUGACAAUCUUAAGAAUAUCAAGAUGACAAUUCCACCAUUCCAAGGUAAGAAUGACCCUGAAGCUUAUUUGGAGUGGGAAAAGAAGAUUGAGCUUGUUUUUGAUUGCCACAACUAUUCGGAGAGUAAAAAGGUGAAACUCGCGGCAAUUGAGUUUUCUGAUUAUGCCAUAGUGUGGUGGGACCAGCUUGUAACUAGUCGACGACAAAAUGGUGAAAGACCCAUCUCUACUUGGGGAGAAAUGAAAUCAGUCAUGCGGAAAAGAUUUAUUCCAUCAUACUACCAUCGAGAUCUUUAUCAACGACUUCAAAACCUUACUCAAGGAAAUAGAAGUGUUGAAGAUUAUUAUAAGGAGAUGGAGAUAGCGAUGAUUCAAGCUGAUAUCGAGGAGGAUCGAGAGGCAACCAUGGCUAGGUUCCUUGCGGGUUUAAACCGUGAUAUUGCCAACAUAGUUGAACUACAACACUAUUUUGAAGUGAUGGACAUGGUUCACAUGGCGAUUAAGUUUGAAAAGCAACUUAAGCGAAAAGGAGUUAGUAGACCCUAUGCCAAUUCUUCAACCAACAAAUGGAAUCAAGGAGUCAACAAACCCCCUGUUAGAACAAAAGAGCCGACUGUAGCAGUUAAAUCAAAUCAACCCAUUGGAGAGACAAGUCGAAAUAAAAAUGAGCAAGCGCCAAAUCGCACGAGAGACAUAAGAUGUUUCAAGUGUUAAGGCCGAGGGCACAUAGCUAGUCAAUGUCCCAAUCAACGAAUUAUGGUGAUAAGAGCUGAUGGAGAAGUUGAGUUGGAGGAAGAGGAUGAAAAUAAACCUGAAAUGCCAUCCGAUGAUGAAGAUUUAGAGUUACCCGUUGAAGGAGAAAUUCUUGUGGUGAAGCGUAGCCUCAGUAUUCAAAGUGUUGAAACUGAUCAACAAAGGGAGAAUAUUUUUCACACUCGAUGCCACAUUCAAGGCAAGGUAUGUAGUAUGAUCAUUGAUGGUGGUAGCUGUACUAAUGUAGCUAGUAUUAUGUUGGUGGAAAAGCUAGGUUUGGCUACAACUAAACAUCCAACUCCAUACAAGUUGCAAUGGCUAAAUGAUGGAGGUGAGCUGAAAGUAACAAAACAAGCUGUGGUGUCAUUUUCUAUUGGAAAGUACCAAGAUGAAGUGGUGCGCGAUGUAGUUCCUAUGCAUGCGGGACAUCUACUUUUGGGACGUCCAUGGCAGUUUGAUAGGCGUGUGAUCUAUGAUGGUUAUACAAAUCGCUAUACAUUCAAGCAUCGAGGCAAGAAUGUAACUUUAGCGCCAUUGACUCCAAAGCAAGUGUACCAAGAUCAAUUGAAGUUGAAGGAAAAGAUUGAAAAAGAGAGAGACAAGAAAAAUGAAAAAAAGAAAGAAAAAAUUGAGGGAGUGAAGGUAAAAGUACGAAAGGAACAAGAAAGUCAAAAAGAAAUUGAGAGUGGUAAAAUGAGCGUAUUUGCGAGAGAAAAAGAGAUAAGAAAAUCAUUGUUGUUGCAUCAACCCGUACUUGUACUUACGUACAAGGAAUGCUUAUUUGAUGCUAACGAACUUGAUAAUUCUUUACCUUUUUCUAUUGUUUCUUUGCUUCAGGAAUUCAAAGACGUUUUCCCGGAAGAUGUGCCAAGUGGAUUGCCUCCUUUUCGAGGUAUUGAACACCAAAUAGACUUUACUCCCGGAGCUACAAUUCCAAAUCGACCAGCUUAUCGAAGCAACCCAGAGGAAACUAAAGAGUUGCAACGACAAGUGGCGGAAUUAAUGGAAAAAGGCUAUAUACGGGAGAGUUUAAGUCCAUGUGCGGUUCCCGUUCUGUUGGUGCCUAAAAAAGAUGGUUCAUGGAGGAUGUGCGUAGAUUGCCGAGCUAUCAACAAAAUUACCGUCAAAUACCGACAUCCCAUUCCUAGACUUGAUGAUAUGUUAGACGAGCUUAGUGGAGCAAAAUUUUUCUCUAAGAUUGAUCUGAAAAGCGGGUAUCAUCAAAUUCGUAUGCGGGAGAGGGACGAGUGGAAGACUGCGUUUAAGACUAAAUACGGUUUGUAUGAGUGGUUAGUGAUGCCUUUUGGCCUCACCAAUGCACCGAGUACUUUCAUGAGGUUGAUGAACCACGUUUUGAGGUCAUUCAUUGGUCGUUUUUGCGUAGUUUAUUUUGAUGAUAUUUUAAUUUACAGCAAAUCAUUAACUGAACAUCUUGAACAUUUGCAUGCUAUUUUGAAGGUUUUACGAAAGGAAGUAUUGUAUGCAAACCUUAAGAAAUGUAACUUUUGUACUGACAAAGUUGUUUUUCUAGGUUUUGUUGUAAGUGCGAAUGGAUUAGAGGUGGACCAAGAGAAGAUUAAAGCAAUACAAGAAUGGCCACGACCGAAUAACAUCAGCCAAGUUAGAAGCUUUCAUGGCCUUGCAAGCUUCUAUAGGAGGUUUGUACCGAAUUUUAGCACUCUUGCUGCCCCAUUAACCGGUAUUAUCAAAAAAAAUUCACCUUUUAUUUGCUCUGAUGAACAAGAAUCUGCUUUUGUUAAAAUCAAAGAUUGCUUGACUAAUGCUCCACUUUUAUGUUUGCCGAAUUGUAACAAAAUUUUCGAGGUAGAAUGUGAUGCUUCUGGAAUAGGAAUAGGUGCGGUUUUAACGCAAGAUGGGCGACCGGUGGCUUAUUUUAGCGAGAAACUUAAUGGAGCUACGCUCAAUUAUCCCACAUAUGACAAAGAAAUGUACGCAUUGAUACGUGCAUUAGAAACAUGGCAGCAUUACCUUUGGCCUAAGGAGUUCGUUAUACACACGGACCAUGAGGCUUUGAAGCAUUUGAGAGGGCAAACUAAGCUUAACAAACGACAUGCAAAAUGGGUAGAAUUCUUAGAAUCCUUUCCACAUGUGAUUAAGUAUAAGCAAGGUAAGGAAAAUAUCGUUGCAGAUGCUUUAUCGCGAAGGUAUGCUCUUUUAAAUUAUUUGGAUGUUAAGUUACUUGGUUUUGCUUAUUUAAAGGAAUUAUAUGCUGAUGAUUCUAAUUUUGGAGAAGUUUACAAGUUAUGUGUGCAAGGUGCGUAUGACAGGUACUAUGAUACAAGAAUGCACGCGAACCAAGAUCGAGUUGCCAAGUCACGAGAAACUCCUACGAAAGAUCCUAGACGAACAGAUUUGAAAUCAAAAACAAAGAUUAAGAUUAAACCGAAUCAGAUUUGAAUUUAAAAUUCCCAAAUUCAAUUAAAAGAGCAGCAAGAAGAAAAGAAAUAGAAUCGAUGAAUCAAACGAAAUUGAGAAGAAAGAAAAGAUGCGAAUCUGCCAAGGAAUUGAUUUGGCCAAGAAUGCCCAAUUUCCAGCAAUCAAUUGAUUCCCAAAUUGAAAGAAAUCCAAUCGGCCAAACCCUAGGAAUUGGGGAUUUUUGGGUUCGAAUGGGUGCUGCCAAUAGGAGAACAACUUAAACGAUGAGAUCUUGAGUUUAAUCAAUGCUGGAAAACAAACAAGAACAGCAAAAUAUUAGAUGAGAAAUCGGCACAAGUAUAAGCAAAGAAAAGUAAAGAAAGAAAUCGAAAAUAGCAAGAAUUAAAGGAUAAGUCCUAAAGAUCCUUGAAAUCCCGAAAGAUUUCACAAAUCUCUUCAAACGGCUCUAAUCUCCCCUCCAAAGAAUAUCGAUGGCAAGAAGAAGGUUGAAGAUGGCUCCCACAAUCAAAAAGAUUGUUAAAACAACUUCUAAAGAAAACUCAAGAGAAAAUCCUUGAAGAACUCAAAGAGAAUUUUCACUCAAAUCAAAUCUGAAAUUUUCAAUGUAAUUGUAAUGUAAUGUAGGGUGGCUGGCCAAGCCAUAUAAAUAGGCCUUUCAAAUGUUUUCCUAAUUUAAUUAGAACACUAAAAC